rnacentral:rRNA from 1 species
UAGGGAAUAUUGGACAAUGGGUGAGAGCCUGAUCCAGCCAUGCCGCGUGCAGGAAGAAAGCCUUCUGGGUUGUAAACUGCUUUUUUCAGGGGAUAAAAUACGCGUGCGCGCGGAAUUGCAAGUACCUGGAGAAUAAGCCACGGCUAACUACGUGCCAGCAGCCGCGGUAAUACGUAGGUGGCAAGCGUUGUCCGGAUUUAUUGGGUUUAAAGGGUGCGUAGGUGGUGAUUUAAGUCAGUGGUGAAAUACGGCAGCUCAACUGUCGAGGUGCCAUUGAUACUGGGUCACUUGAGUACUGAUGAGGUAGGCGGAAUGGACGGUGUAGCGGUGAAAUGCUUAGAGAUCGUCCAGAACACCGAUAGCGAAGGCAGCUUACUAAGGAGUAACUGACACUGAGGCACGAAAGUGUGGGGAUCAAACAGGAUUAGAUACCCUGGUAGUCCACACUGUAAACGAUGAUUACUCGAUGUUGGCGAUACACAGCCAGCGUCUUAGCAAAAGCGAUAAGUAAUCCACCUGGGGAGUACGCCGGCAACGGUG